rfam:Ruegeria meonggei strain CECT 8411 genome assembly, contig: 0003
AUGACCGAUGCCAAAAUACCCGACGCGCAAUACGGAUUGGAAAAGGCUCUGACCUUCACGCUCGCCGCUCAUGCCGGCGCAAAUCGCCUGUGUGAGUUCGG